UCCUGCGACGCCCACUUGGAUGAGGCUAAAUUAUGCCAUCCCGCCACCCUCCAGGUUUAGCAUCUCGAAGUUCGUUGUACCGUAGCCGACGAGAAAAACGGCCACUCCAGGAAACUGUGCAAGCCUGAUUCAAUCACCAGACUUCGUAGUCACAGGACCAGCUUUGCGAGUUGUCGUGGACAUGCGCGCAGUGCAAACCUCGACAACUUCGGUUUGCGACGUUUUCAUAGUAGUUCCUCUAGCGUUCAAAGGGCGAUCAAGGAAAACAACUUGUUGAGAUAUCAGCCUCUCAAGCCUGCGACUAUCCGGGAAUUCUGUUUGUUGCAGCGGAGGGAGCUCAUAUUACUAGCAACAACGUGACAGUAUUCUAUGCCGACACUCUGACAGCUUGUUGCAACGCCUUGCAAUCUCGAAACUCCUUCAGUUUCAGCUUGGCUCUUUUGGGGUCCACAGUUGGGGGACGUGGUGCUCACCGCUCCUGAGUUGAGGGUGUCUUCGGUUUUGAGCCUGAGACUGCAGUUCUGUUUCCUCACAGGCCUUCUGCCCCUGCAAACGAUUAUUGAUAGGUUGGUUGUUAAGUAUCUGAUAAUUUGUAGACUCGGUACGUCGUACCAGCUUCAUCACUCAGGACGCACCCGGAAGUUAUUUAAGCUAGGUAGACGUAAAUAGCAUUCUUAUACCCCGAUGAAGUUCAUGGAGGAACAAAUGUGGUACCAGUUCGAUUCUUGCAGAGAAGUGACAUUGCUGAUGCUCAAGGCUUAUGCUGUGUCCUUCUUACUCGUCAUGUCGGUACUGUUGUGGACUGCUGGUGAUCUAGCCAGUGAUGCUUGUUUAUAUUAUGGUUACUUAUUCGUGGACUCCCAGUUCAGCCGACGUGUCAAUCACACCUUCGUCGACUUUGGGUAAUUUCUCAUUUGAGGGACCGGAUGUCCAAUUCUAAUUUCUGGUGGAAUCGACAUUCUGCUGGCAUGAAUGAGUCCUGUCAAUAUACUCAGUACCGAACUCAUGUACACCAGAAGUGGGCAAUGUUCUAUACUUCUUCGACGGUUGUCUUUACCGGCAUGCAACUCAAAAAAGGGAUUUGUUUCUUUUUCCUAAUGAACGCCCUGCUCCAUGUAACAAACUGAAGAGAGUGUUAGGUAUGCACUUAUUCGGCAGGGUGAGACAACUUUUAUCUAGGUCAUUUUCAAGAUGAUCUUCAGCUCGAUCAAGGAUAUAGAGGGUGCUGCAACAUCAAUAUAUUUCGAAUGCACCAAUCGAGGUUCGAGGCAGAAUGGGACAAUUAUGGCCGUGUAAGUGGCUUGAAGGGCCAUCGAAUGGAGCAGAGUGGAAACUUUUGACAUCUGGGAUCCUCCGGUCUAAAGAAGUGGCCAAUGUCACUUAUCAGGGCAAUCAAAGAAUACACCUCAGUAGCAAGCAAUUAAGUUCGGGUGUUAAGUGACGUGCAUUCCCAGGUGAAUACAGAAGUGCAAAUUAUCAGUGCAUGUAUGAUCAGACAUCACAUGAGAGGAACACACCAGAGAGACGCUCAAGGAUCACUUCGCUAGGGUUUGAAAGCACAGCUUGAUAACAAAUGUAACAGGACUAUCUGGGAAUUGCAAUCCUCAACGUCCAAGGUUACAUUUUCACUAGAAGACUUGGCAGAAAAAUAACCCCAUGUGCAGUGCCUGUACGUGACAAAAGUCGCGUGAACGCUACAACUUUGAAGGAAUCAACAGAGAGAAUUGCAUUUUGAUUUGAA